rnacentral:lncRNA from 10 species
AGAGAACAAUGAAGUCUCCUCUUUCCUGCCUGCCUCAUUCUUCCUAGACUUCUGAACUUUUCCUCUCUCCCACUCCUCCUCGCCUCUACUUCCAUCCCUGGUGUGAGUCUUGUGACUCAUGACGGCUGAGAGUAGGAGUGCAGUUGAGCCCCUCAGCACACUCAGCCCUGGACCGAUGUGACUGGAGAUGUCUUGAGAUGGACAGGAACAGGCGCAGGGAGGAGCAGGAGGAGUGUAAAGCCCUUACAGGAGAAGCUGACUGCCCCUAGAUGAAGAGACCAGAAUGAGAAGGAGGCCAUUUAUGGUUUGCAAUUCAGAACAAGGACACCAUGAAAAGAAGAUGAUGGGCAGGAUUCUGAAAUGAAACCAUGACACACACUUGUAAGGUGAAACUGCAGUCACUUUUCAAAUCCAGAUGAACCACAAAAACCAAGCAGAACUGUACACAUCACAGGCAACUUCUCCUGAAAGAAACUGAGUUGGGCCCACCCAAAUGAGCAAGCACAAACAGAAACGUGUUGUCUUCCCAGAAAAGUGAAAAGAUCAAACAUUCCCUGGGCAGCCAGGACCCAGACCACACCCAGUUUACCAGCAGAACAUCUUUGACCUCUCUCGUUUAUUCAAGACCCAUCAGCGAGAGACUAAACUGUGCAAUGGAAAAAUGUCCCAGUCACGAGACUUGGCUCAGAUCCUUCCUGGACUCAUUUCUAACUAUGUGACCCUAAGCCUCAGCUUCCUGAUCAGGUGAAUGGGGACAAGAGUAAUUAUUUUGUAGGCUUGCUGGGGGAAUUACAAGGAAUUUAUAAUAUGAUGAUCAAUAAAUGACAGCUUAUAUUAAUAAAAAUAACAGAAAUGGAGAAAAAGAGGAAGCAAAAACAGAAAAUAUUACUCCCAAAUACUUCCUCCAAAACUUACUUUGAGGAAUUGAUGUGAAUUUUUUUAUUACAAACAUUUUAAGCAAACAAAAUAUGGAGAGUGUACCCAUUCCCUAGCUCUUGAUUUCUAGUAUUUUGAAAUACUUAAAACACAUUUUUAAAGAAAUGAAACACCGAAGAUACAGUUGUGUAGCCCUUGUCUAUUCUGUUCUCCACACCUCUACACUCUGGACACUGUCCAACUUCCUUUUUUAUGUUCUGUUUCUUGGGGCUUCCUUCCUCCAGCCUGAACUAACAAUCACCACAACCAACUUCUCUCUCUGCAUUAUCUGUAUUCUGGCUGAAGAGUUACCUGCUUCUUCUAGGACUGCAAGCUUCUGCUGAGGAGAAAAGGAAACUCUGGCCCUCCAGCACUGCCCACUGUCUCAAAAGGAGCUCCUUAAAAGAGGCUGAAGCUGAUGGUGGUCAGGCUAGAAAGAAGAGUGCGGACCCCUCCCUGCAUAGUGCUGGGCAUUAGGGUCUUCAGCUGUGGGCUCACAGCUGUGUCCUAGAAAAUAAAUUAUUUUGACAAAUGGGAUCUAAUUAAACUAAAGAGCUUCUGCACAGCAAAAGAAACUACCAUCAGAGUGAACAGGCAAC